rnacentral:rRNA from 1 species
CAAGUCGUGGGGCAGCAGGUCCCGCAGCAAUGCGGGAUGCUGGCGACCGGCAAACGGGUGCGGAACACGUACACAACCUUCCUUUAAGUGGGGAAUAGCCCAGGGAAACUUGGAUUAAUACCCCGUAACAUAUAGAAGAGGCAUCUCUUUCAUAUUAUAGCUACGGCGCUUGAAGAUGGGUGUGCGGCUGAUUAGGUAGUUGGCGGGGUAACGGCCCACCAAGCCUACGAUCAGUAACUGGUGUGAGAGCACGACCAGUCACACGGGCACUGAGACACGGGCCCGACUCCUACGGGAGGCAGCAGUAAGGAAUAUUGGUCAAUGGACGCAAGUCUGAACCAGCCAUGCCGCGUGGAGGAUGAAGGUCCUCUGGAUUGUAAACUUCUUUUAUCUGGGACGAAAAAAGGGAAUUCUUUCUCACUUGACGGUACCAGAUGAAUAAGCACCGGCUAACUCCGUGCCAGCAGCCGCGGUAAUACGGAGGGUGCAAGCGUUAUCCGGAUUCACUGGGUUUAAAGGGUGCGUAGGUGGGCUUGUAAGUCAGUGGUGAAAUCUCCGGGCUUAACCCGGAAACUGCCAUUGAUACUAUAAGUCUUGAAUACCAUGGAGGUGAGCGGAAUAUGUCAUGUAGCGGUGAAAUGCUUAGAUAUGACAUAGAACACCAAUUGCGAAGGCAGCUCGCUACGCGGUUAUUGACACUGAGGCACGAAAGCGUGGGGAUCAAACAGGAUUAGAUACCCUGGUAGUCCACNCCCUAAACGAUGGAUACUCGACAUCAGCGAUACACUGUUGGUGUCUGAGCGAAAGCAUUAAGUAUCCCACCUGGGAAGUACGACCGCAGGGUUGAACUCAAAGGAAUUGACGGGGUCCGCACAAGCGGUGGAGCA